AACGAACGCUGGCGGCAGGCUUAACACAUGCAAGUCGAACGGGUGUAGCAAUACAUCAGUGGCAGACGGGUGAGUAACACGUGGGAACCUUCCUAGAGGUACGGAACAACGCAGGGAAACUUGCGCUAAUACCGUAUACGCUCGAGAGAGGAAAGAUGUAUCGCCUUUAGACGGGCCCGCGUCGGAUUAGCUAGUUGGUGGGGUAACGGCUCACCAAGGCGACGAUCCGUAGCUGAUCUGAGAGGAUGAUCAGCCACACUGGGACUGAGACACGGCCCAGACUCCUACGGGAGGCAGCAGUGGGGAAUCUUGGACAAUGGGCGCAAGCCUGAUCCAGCCAUGCCGCGUGAGUGAAGAAGGCCUUCGGGUUGUAAAGCUCUCUUACCAGGGACGAUAAUGACGGUACCUGGAGAAUAAGCCCCGGCAAACUUCGUGCCAGCCGCCGCCGUAAGAC
rnacentral:rRNA from 1 species